rnacentral:rRNA from 1 species
AGCGAACGCUGGCGGCAGGCCUAACACAUGCAAGUCGAACGAACCUUUCGGGGUUAGUGGCGGACGGGUGAGUAACACGGGGGAACGUGCCUGUAGGUUCGGAAUAACUCAGGGAAACGUGUGCUAAUACCGAAUGUGCCCUUCGGGGGAAAGAUUUAUCGCCUUUAGAGCGGCCCGCGUCUGAUUAGCUAGUUGGUUGAGGUAAUGGCGCACCAAGGCGACGAUCAGUAGCUGGUCUGAGAGGAUGAUCAGCCACAUUGGGACUGAGACACGGCCCAAACUACUACGGGAGGCAGCAGUGGGGAAUCUUGCGCAAUGGGCGAAAGCCUGACGCAGCCAUGCCGCGUGAAUGAUGAAGGUCUUAGGAUUGUAAAAUUCUUUAACCGGGGACGAUAAUGACGGUACCCGGAGAAGAAGCCCCGGCUAACUUCGUG